rnacentral:rRNA from 1 species
CGACUGCGACCCCAGGUCAGGCGGGA